rnacentral:lncRNA from 1 species
UGGUGUUAGUUCAAAUUCAAAAUCUUUUCGCAAUCUUGGUAUGAAAAUUCAAAGCUUUUGAUCUUUCCUUGAAAUGCAAGUAAUGAAAAUUCAGUGCAGCAGAAAAACUCAGUUGACUGCUAAACAAAUAUAGUCGACUGGAAAUAAAGAGUGCAUGGAUAGAGAAAAUCAAACACUGGUUUUUAUACUGGUUCGGCCAACAAUGCCUACAUCCAGUGUCCUUCCACUCAGGAAGCAAAUGCACUAUAAUGAUUACGGUUUUUACAACAAGGAAUUUAUAAGAGCACCACGCAAAAAUAUAAAUCUCCUCUCUAACCCAAAACCAAA